UUUUAGUCUGCCACCAUUGUCUCUAUCGGUACCCUCACAAAAGCACUGACUUUGAUGCUGUAUUUGGUAAGUGCUAUUUGUUGGCGUAGUUUCAAGUGACCUGUGCUACAAGAGAGUGUU
rnacentral:pre_miRNA from 8 species